UGAAGCAUUAAACAGCAAAAACACCACGAUUAUUGGAGCCAUCUCAUCAACUCAGCAGCCUGAUAGUAUUAUCAAGGUUUUCAGACGUGCUCUCGGAUUUGAGGGGAUAAAGCUUGUAAAGGCAGACCUGACGACAUUGGGCAUUGUUGGGUUUUUUUGAUCUGUAUCUUCUUACAGGGGAAAAAAAAAAGGAAAUCCAACAUCCUGAAGACAAUUUUCUGAAGGAUAGUAAAAGGAGAAGAAAAAAAAAAUCCUCCUUCUCUGCCAUUCCCAAUAAACUACUGGGAAAAACAAACUUUUACAGCUUCAUUUCAUAAUGCCAGGUCAAAGAAAUAAAUUGGAAAAGGGAAAGUUUGUUGAAAUCUCCUUAGUGCCAGCUGAAUCGGAUGAGACGGGAGAUGCCAAAUGCACAGACACGAAGGAGG